UCAGAAGGAAUACAUUUCUCUUCUAUACUAGAGAUUGUUUCUUAUCCAGCUUUAACUUCUGUUUUUAGUUUUCCUCAAUAUACCAGCUUGCUUCGGCUGAUUUUAUGGAAUGAUGACCAAACACAGCAUGGAAAGAAAUGGUUUAUGUCAGUUUAUUGUGCAUCAUGAGAAGAAACCAAGAUUCCAAACCAUUACAGGAAUGGACAUUGGCGAUUCAACAUCACCACUGAGUAAGAAACAUUGAAGUAGAAUCUGCUACAUGAUUGGAUGGAUGAAAAUGGAGUAAAGAAUUUUCAACUUCAGCUGUAGUAUAAUUAAUAUCCUAGAUGUGGCAUAUUCCUCUUUGGUGUUAUCUUCACCAGUUCUCUAUUGUUGUGAAGAGACACCGUGAACAUAACAAGACUUAUAAAAGAAAGCAUAUAGCUGAGGCUUGUUAACAGUUUCAGAGGCUGAGUUUAUCAUCAUGGUAGGCAGCAUGGCAGCAUAGAGGCAGACAUGGUAGCUGAGCAUUCUACAUUCAGAUCUACAGGUCGCAUGAAGAGAGAGACACUGGGCCUGGCUUGGUCUUUUGAAACCUCAAAGUCCACCCCUGAUGCUAUACUUCAAUAAGGCUACAAUGACUCUAACAAGGACGCACCAUAUAAUCCUUCUCAAGUAGUGCCACUGUCUGAUGACUGUGCCAUUUUAUUCAAAUAAUCAUAUGCUUCUCCCCGAGUCCUUAGGUUUGUAGCCAUGAAAUAAUGCAAAGCUGCAUUCAGUUCAACUACAAUUCCAAAUAAUCUGUAGUAAUCUCAGCACUGUUUAAAAGUUCAAAGUCUCUCCUGAGACUCAUAGCAAUCUCUUAAUUAUAACCCUCUGUAAAUCAGAAUAAAAAGUAUAUCACCACUUUGUAAUAUAUAAUA
rnacentral:lncRNA from 1 species